rnacentral:lncRNA from 1 species
UACAGCCAUCUCCAAUGUGUAAAAAGGCUAAGGCCAUUCAAUUCUACAUAGCUAAGUCCAUUCAAUUCUACAUGGCUAAGGCCAUUCAAUUCUACAUGGCUAAGGCCAUCGAUUUAAAAUUGCUAAGGCCAUCGCCGCUAAUAGUCAACCCAAUGUCGACCACGGCAAAAUGAAGGACUCGAUGAUAGUCGAAGUCGACCACAUGGCUAAGUCCAUUCAAUUCUACAUGGCCAAGGCCAUCGAUUUAAAAUGGCUAAGGCCAUCGCCGCUAACAGUCGACUCAAUGUCGACCACGACAAAACGAAAGACUCGACGACAGUUUAAGUCCACAUGGUUAAGGCCAUUCAAUUCUAUAUGGCUAAAGCCAUCGAUUUAAAACGGCUAAGGCCAUCGCCAGUAACAAUCGACCCAAUGUCGACUACGGCAGAACGAGAGACUCGAUGAUAGUCGAAGUCAACUAAUACGGCUAAGGCCAUUUAGUCCAAAUAUGGCUAAAGCCAUCACCGUUAAUAAUCGACCUAACAUCAACUAUGGAAAAAUGAAAGACCUCACGAGGGUCGAAGUUAAGUUCAAACUACGAGUUGCAAACACGAUAAAAGUUCCAAGGAACAAAGAAAGAGUAACAACGCAAAAAAGUAUGUACUAUUAUAUCCAAUAUAUAUAUAUAUAUAUAUAUAUAUAUACAUAACCGGCCUCAGAAAAAGGCCCAUUUAUAACAAAAAAGCACAAAGGCAAACCCUAGGAACCCCCGUCACCCUGGCCGGCACAAUCAGCACUCAGGCCGUCGCCACCUCCUGGAGGGUAGUCCCUAGAAAUCCAAGAAGCAGAUGCUAGGAGAUUAAUGUCUUCUGAGUUAUACCCUUACCUAGUGGGCGGAUCAGAGAGGUAACCGAUCUGUUCACAAGCAACACGGGUCAGACUCCGCUGGCUAUCCACGUCCUCUUCAAAAACUUGACCGACUGCCAAGAGCUCUUCAAACACAACUAGCCGGGCAUCAUGGUACACCCACAUGUCAUGAGCAUCCCGACGCUCAGCUUCCUA